rnacentral:lncRNA from 1 species
UGGGUUUCACAUGAUGUAGCACAUGUUAGGGAACAGAGAACACCUGCGCAAUAUGAAUAAUGGAAGUGGGGGGGGCGGGGAGAGAGAGGGAGUGUUAGGGUUUCCUUGUUCCUGGAUGAUGAUGGUAGGAGCUACUAGCUACCAAGCUGCAGAUAAAGGCCCUUCCCUUCUUGAUGGCGACACCAAGGGUCAAAUGAACAUGGCCUUUUGCUUCUCAUAAUAAUGAACAACCCAUACAACAAUUUUAGUAUUCUAAUUCUGGGUCCCAUGCACACACUAAUUUCUCAACUAAACACUCUUCAUUGUCAGCUUAUUACCUUCUAACACCUACCUAGCUAUCAUGUUUAAAUAUUCACAACAAUUUUGUUUCAUCACCACUCCAACACCAGAAAGCAAGCGAUCAAGCUCAUUUCGUGCUUUUGUCACUUCCAU